CGUCUUCAAUUUUCCACUGAACUUUCAUGCUAAGAUCAGCCAUGGAAGCUUCAGCAUUCAGCCAAGCUAUUUUGGCCAAUCAAGUGAUUCGGAGGCUCUCUCAGGUUGGAAGUUAUCAAAGAUCAUAUCACACUAUCCAACUAUGGUUUGGUACUUAUAAGCUUUGUGAUAUUGUUUAUAUGGCAUGUAUAGGUUUUGUGGUUAUUUAUUGAGUAUAAGUAAUGUUGGUGAUUGAUGCAUAUGUGCUUGAUAUGUAUUUAACCAUGAGAUUUGGCAUGAUUAAGUUAUGUGGUUUAAAGUAUAUAUAUAUAUAUAUAUAUAUAUAUAUAUUCCCAUGUGAUAUGAGUUAUUUUGGUAAGCUUAAUGUUACUUUAAGUUAGUCAAAUGGCCAA